rnacentral:rRNA from 1 species
UGGGGAAUAUUGCACAAUGGGCGAAAGCCUGAUGCAGCGACGCCGCGUGAGGGAUGACGGCCUUCGGGUUGUAAACCUCUUUCCGUAGGGACGAAGCGCAAGUGACGGUACCUGCAGAAGAAGCACCGGCUAACUACGUGCCAGCAGCCGCGGUAAUACGUAGGGUGCGAGCGUUGUCCGGAAUUACUGGGCGUAAAGAGCUCGUAGGCGGUUUGUCACGUCGUCUGUGAAAUCCUAGGGCUUAACCCUGGACGUGCAGGCGAUACGGGCUGACUUGAGUACUACAGGGGAGACUGGAAUUUCUGGUGUAGCGGUGGAAUGCACAGAUAUCAGGAAGAACACCGAUGGCGAAGGCAGGUCUCUGGGUAGUAACUGACGCUGAGGAGCGAAAGCAUGGGUAGCGAACAGG